CGUGUAGGCGGCUUGAUAAGUCAGAUGUGAAAGCCCUGGGCUUAACCCAGGAAGUGCAUUUGAAACUGUCUGGCUAGAGUAAGGGAGGGGGAAGUGGAAUUCCUGGUGUAGAGGUGAAAUUCGUAGAUAUCAGGAGGAACACCGGUGGCGAAGGCGACUUCCUGGCCCUAUACUGACGCUGAGACGCGAGAGCGUGGGUAGCAAACA
rnacentral:rRNA from 1 species